UAGAUGAAUGCUCGCUGGUUUGAGCGCUUAGCUGUUAACUAAGACUUUGUGGGAUCGAGGCCCUCUUAUCUAU
rnacentral:tRNA from 1 species